GAUGAACGCUAGCGGGAGGCUUAACACAUGCAAGUCGAGGGGCAGCACGAGAUAGCAAUAUUUUGGUGGCGACCGGCGCACGGGUGAGUAACACGUAUGCAACCUACCUCGUACAGGGGGAUAACCCGGAGAAAUUCGGACUAAUAUCCCAUAAUAAUAUCGAAAGGCAUCUUUUAAUAUUUAAAGCUCAGGCGGUACGGGAUGGGCAUGCGGAACAUUAGCUAGUUGGUAGGGUAACGGCCUACCAAGGCUGCGAUGUUUAGGGGACCUGAGAGGGUUAUCCCCCACACUGGUACUGAGACACGGACCAGACUCCUACGGGAGGCAGCAGUGAGGAAUAUUGGUCAAUGGGGGCAACCCUGAACCAGCCAUGCCGCGUGAAGGAUGAAGGCGUUCUGCGUUGUAAACUUCUUUUAUACAGGAANAAAAGGCCAUGCGUGGUUCUAUGACGGUACUGUAUGAAUAAGCACCGGCUAACUCCGUGCCAGCAGCCGCGGUAA
rnacentral:rRNA from 1 species